rnacentral:rRNA from 1 species
UACGAAGGGGGGCUAGCGUUGCUCGGAAUGACUGGGCGUAAAGGGCGCGUAGGCGGAUGGCACAGUCAGAUGUGAAAUUCCCGGGCUUAACCUGGGGGCUGCAUUUGAUACGUGUUGUCUAGAGUGAGGAAGAGGGUUGUGGAAUUCCCAGUGUAGAGGUGAAAUUCGUAGAUAUUGGGAAGAACACCGGUGGCGAAGGCGGCAACCUGGUCCUUGACUGACGCUGAGGCGCGAAAGCGUGGGGAGCAAAACAGG